rnacentral:rRNA from 1 species
AUGGGAUGGGGUCGCGUCCUAUCAGCUUGAUGGCGGGGUAACGGCCACCAUGGCUUCGACGGGUAGCCGGCCUGAGAGGGCGACCGGCCACAUUGGGACUGAGAUACGGCCCAGACUCCUACGGGAGGCAGCAGUGGGGAAUAUUGCACAAUGGGCGCAAGCCUGAUGCAGCGACGCCGCGUGCGGGAUGGAGGCCUUCGGGUUGUAAACCGCUUUUGAUCGGGAGCAAGCCCUUCGGGGUGAGUGUACCUUUCGAAUAAGCACCGGCUAACUACGUGCCACAGCCGCGGUAAUACGUAGGGUGCAAGCGUUAUCCGGAAUUAUUGGGCGUAAAGGGCUCGUAGGCGGUUCGUCGCGUCCGGUGUGAAAGCCCAUCGCUUAACGGUGGGUCUGCGCCGGGUACGGGUGGGCUGGAUUGCGGUAGGGGAGACUGGAAUUCCCGGUGUAACGGUGG